AUGCAGCCUCUGCCUGAUGAAAGCUCCUCUGUCCUGUACUCACACGUGUGCCUCCCUGCAAGUGCCUCUAUCACAAGCUGCGGAGAAAUCCGGCAUGCCAGGCGAACCUGCCCGCCAGGCUGCCCGGUGAUCCUCUUCCUGGAGCUGAGGCACAGCACAGCCAGGCCCGUGGGCUGCAUCUGGUUGACAGGACUUUCAUUAGAGGUGGGUUCAUCUCCCACCGGGAUCAGUGAAGGGAUAUUCCAGGACCCUACAAAGAGCUGGGCAGGCCUGGGGACAGAGGGCACUGUGGUGCUGGGCGCCAGGAGGGGCUGCCCCACCACUGACCCCACCAGUGAUGAAGCCGGGCAGCCUGCAGGGCAAGAGCCAGGUGGGAUGCUUGCUGCCCAGAAGCUGAAGAUCUGGUCCCAGGAAGCUCUCCCAGGGGCUCUGCCAUGUUCACCCUGUUCUUCCUGCCUAGGCUGGUGGCCUAACCUGUGGCAGCUGUGCUGGACCCAGGCACCCAGCAGGACCAGCCACCCACUGAGGGGCAGGAGAACAACAAGGGGCACUGCCCAGCUCCGAGAGCUCAGGCGGGGCAGUGCCUCUGCCUCCCGACCCUGGCCAGAGGCUGUACCAAGUCAGCCCAAGCCCAGACCCACAGUGAGACACAGGCGGAAAGGUGCUCCCUCCAUCCUGGCUGCCUGCUGUGGGGACUGCCUGGGUGGUGUAGGAGGGUGUGCAUGUGCAGCUGGAGGGGGUGCUGGGGGUGAGGGCCAGGGAAGUGGUCAGAUCCCAGCCCGUUCAAGGAUCCUGGUUUGUGAUCCCGUCCCUGUGACCAUGGGGCCACCACUCCUGCAGAGCUGCUCAGCUGUGGUCACACUGUGUGCGGCUGCCAGGAGCCCGGGCCGUGCAUUUUCCUCCCCGCCUAUGGGCCUGGCCAGCCUGGUGCUGAGGGUCACUGGGGACUGGGAGGGUUCCCAGGAGGCCACAACCCCUGCCACUGCCCCAAACACUUGGCUCCUGGUUCCCCAUGCUCGCCUUCUGGAUGCAAGUGGAGAGCCAGGCAAAGCUCCCAGCCAGCGGUGGAGGUGCUGUCCCGAAGCAGGCAGGCUUGCCUGGAACAAUGCAAACAUCUGGAGCCCAGAGCCCCGGGCCUGCCACCUGGGCUAA
rnacentral:lncRNA from 1 species